rnacentral:rRNA from 1 species
AGAGUUUGAUCAUGGCUCAGAUUGAACGCUGGCGGCAUGCCUUACACAUGCAAGUCGAGCGGCAGCGCGGGGGCAACCCUGGCGGCGAGCGGCGUACGGGUGAGUAAUGCAUCGGAACGUGUCCUCUCGUGGGGGAUAACCAGUCGAAAGACUGGCUAAUACCGCAUGAGAUCGAGAGAUGAAAGCGGGGGACCGCAAGGCCUCGCGCGAGAGGAGCGGCCGAUGCCGGAUUAGCUAGUUGGCGGGGUAACGGCCCACCAAGGCGACGAUCCGUAGCUGGUCUGAGAGGACGACCAGCCACACUGGGACUGAGACACGGCCCAGACUCCUACGGGAGGCAGCAGUGGGGAAUUUUGGACAAUGGGGGCAACCCUGAUCUAGCCAUGCCGCGUGUGUGAAGAAGGCCUUCGGGUUGUAAAGCACUUUCGGACGGAACGAAAUCGCGCGGGCGAAUAUCCCGCGUGGAUGACGGUACCGUAAGAAGAAGCACCGGCUAACUACGUGCCAGCAGCCGCGGUAAUACGUAGGGUGCGAGCGUUAAUCGGAAUUACUGGGCGUAAAGUGUGCGCAGGCGGCCGAGCAAGUCGAGUGUGAAAGCCCCGAGCUUAACUUGGGAAUUGCGCUCGAAACUACUUGGCUGGAGUGUGGCAGAGGAAGGUGGAAUUCCACGUAGCGGUGAAAUGCGUAGAGAUGUGGAGGAACACCAAUGGCGAAGGCAGCCUUCUGGGCCAACACUGACGCUCAUGCACGAAAGCGUGGGGAGCAAACAGGAUUAGAUACCCCAGUAGUCC